CAAGUUCAAUGGAACUCAGUUGACACAACGUUCAAUCGUCGGUACUGUGCAGAUUGCCGGUUUUAGGUAUUGGUAGAUACCGUUAUCUUGUCAUCGUUCAUUCGCGGCUCCAGUUUGGAUUAUUAUACCGACACUCGAAAGCUUAAGUCCACCUUUAGCCAAUUUAACAAAACAAACAUUGGAAAUGCCGAGUUCUAAAAUCAGAAAUCUAAGUAAAUCCACGUUUCAUCAAUUUGGCGAAGUAAAAAUUGAGAGUCCCAGGAGCCACAAGCCAGUUUAAGUCCCAUGCGUCGCCGAUUUUCCAUACGUAUAUUAAACCCUAUACAUAUGUAUACUAAUUCAUUCCCAAAAUAAAAAGCUUGAUAUCACGAAAGUACAUUCGAAAUGAUUAAGUCCAAUGGCAGGAUGGUUAAAAUAACCCA